CCUACGGGAGGCAGCAGUGGGGAAUAUUGGUCAAUGGAGGCAACUCUGACGCAGCAACGCCGCGUGAGUGAUGAAGGUCUUCGGAUUGUAAAACUCUUUUAGUAGGGAAGAAGAAAGCGACUGUACACACAUAAUAAGCGUCGGCUAACGACGUGCCAGCAGCCGCGGUAAUACGUAGGAGGCAAGCGUUCUCCGGAAUUACUGGGCGUAAAGGGGGCGUAGGGGGUUUGACAAGUUAGUAGCGUAAUUCCGGGGCUCAACUAUGGAACUACUACUAAAACUGUUGGGCUUGAGUGCAGGAGAGGUGAAUGGAAUUCUUAGUGUAGCGGUAGAAUGCGUAGAUAUUAGGAGGAACACUAGUGGCGAAAGCGAUUCACUAGAAUGUAACUGACACUGAGGCACGAAAGCGUGGGGAGCAAACAGGAUUAGAUACCCCUGUAGUC
rnacentral:rRNA from 1 species